rnacentral:misc_RNA from 1 species
GAUGAAGAACGUAGCGAAAUGCGAUAAGUAAUGUGAAUUGCAGAUUUCAGUGAAUCAUCGAAUCUUUGAACGCACCUUGCGCUCCUUGGUAUUCCGAGGAGCAUGCCUGUUUGAGUGUCAUUAAAUUCUCAACUCUCCAACUGUUGUCAUGACUGGUGGUAGAGCUUGGACGUGAGGGUUCUGCCGGCUCCUUGUUGAGUCUGGCUCCCUUGAAAAUGAUUAGCGCAGCUUUGCACUGUCCACUUCAGGUGUGAUAAUUUAUCUACGCCCGACUAGCGACGCGCAUGAAUGGCUUUGUGCUUCUAACCGUCUCGAAAGAGACAAUACCUUUUGAACUUGACCUCAAAUCAGGUAGGACUACCCGCUGAACUUAAGCAUAUCAAUAAGCGGAGGA